AUGCUAUUUAGACACUGCUAGAAGGAUCAAGCUCCUGAAUGCCAGCAGUGUGUUAUCCUGCAGCAAGAUCCUUAAGCCCUGAUGGAUUUGCAGCCUCCUCUCAAUUUCUUUUCCAAAGCAGCUAAAGGUGAUGACUAAACAUGUCAUUGAAUUCAUCCAUGUGAAUCCUAAUAAGUACGUGAGAGCACAAAGGGAUAUCAGAGGACAGAGCUGGUCACUGGCAAGAGUGAGAUGCAUCAUAUCCCUGAGGACUGCAGUAAUAGUAAUAGAGAGGGAAACAGACAAAAACAUAAUGGUGAGUAUUAAGAAUUUGUUGGAUUUUUCUCUUCUUUUUCCUUUUCUUUUUUUUUUUUUUUUUUUUUUUUUUAGAAGUCCUGUAAAAUCUAAUUCACAGAGCAUAAGCAUUAAUUCAAAACAUUUGCUCACUCUACACUCUUGCUACCUGAUCUACCUGUCUUGCUGAUAUAUAUACUGCAGAUACAGAUUUAUUUCUACAGAUAAGUAUUUUUGUAUUUUGGUAAUAAA
rnacentral:lncRNA from 1 species